AUCUUAAUAAAAUUUCUUCAAUAAAUUGCGAGAGUAUAAAAUGUUCGGUUGCACCUGAACUUAGCCUUUCCUUACUUUUUUUAUUUAUGCGUCAAAAUUCAACAUAUUUGCGUUAGAUGGCAAACAAACUGUGCAAAAAACCAGGUAAAACGAUGCGCAUACCCAAUUUGCGUGCGACUGGACGAGGAUACGUAAUGGUGCGGGAUUGUAUGUCAGUAUACAGAGUCGGUAAUUUGGUAUUUAUCGACAAUAUUAUGAACCAGUAUGGCUUCAUAGAUAUUCUGAAAGAAAAUUUAAUACCAAGAGCUGAGAAAAGGGAAAUGGCUCUUAAAGAAGAGUGGAGCAAAAAUUUCGCGAUACAUGCAAAAGUUAGUCAAUUCGAUACUAAAAACGAUUAAUACUUUGAAAAACGCCAAGGGCGGCCCAACUAAGUAUUAAACUAAGAUUGUUUGUUAUUAUUUACCAAUUUGCUUCAUAAAAUGUUCUGUACGAUUUUGAGUGAGACACAAAUUUAUGAGUUGUGAACAUGAAAUAUUUUUUUGUUAAGUUAACUACUGAUUUUUUUUUUUUGGUUUUUAUUGUUAUAUAACAAGUUCAAAUAUUAAACAAACUACCAUAAUUUUUAUUUAAUUUUUGAAAAUACAGAAAAUACAGUUAUAUUUUUUUUUAAGUGACACUCGCUGUACAUACGUAACCCUAAUUAUUUACUAAACUGCUGCACAAGUGCACUUGCAAUCACUUGAAGAAACAACCAAAGUUCUCGUGUUUGAACAAGUUUUGUUUUGAGCUACAUAUAUCAUGGCUGCUUGUGAAGUAUUAUUUUGUGUGUUUUAUUUAAAUCAGUGAUCUGCAGCCUAAUUAAAGUUUAAAUUAUUGAAGCACCCAUUUUUUAAAUAAGUAAAACGUAAAAUAAAAGUUGUCUAAAGCCAAAAUAUGGAAUUGAAGAGGGUGAUACAGUAAUACUUCAUUGCACUGUCAAUUCGAAGCACGCAAUAGAAGCUACGCCAACAAUUGUCAAUGGCGAAACCAUUGAAUACGCAAAUAAUUGUUGAAUAUAAUAAUAUUAUCUUGCCUUAAAUUCUAAUUAAUUUUCCACACAGAUAUUUCAAAACUCAUAUCAUAUAUUGUAGCAGCGUAGAACUUUCGGAGCGAUGGAAUAUGUGCAGCAAGCAAAUCCAGAACUAUGGAUCCAAACGCUGCUACAUGGAACACAAAUCAUUUACACACCAGAUAUUAAGUUUAAUGUCACUUUUUUACGUGCAAUUAAACCUGUUGGUGAACACAAGCACGAGAAUUGGAACGAUUUAGUUAGGUGCUUUUGAAACCGUUUAUUAUCACGACGUGUGUCAACUGGGUUUUGCCAAUGAGCUAGAGGGCAAAGCAGUUUCAGUAGUUUUGGGCUUACCGGCACUUGGCCGUGCCAUUAGCAGCUAAAACACAGAAAUUAAAGGGAGGACAUUUUUGAUUCAUUUUCACCUUGUAUUGAGGAAUCAUAACGUUGUAGUAUCUCUUUACAAGGACAUAAAUUCACCGAAAUUAGUUCAAUGGAAAUACUACAGCAAGAGCAUGGAUGUUAAGACUUGAACGGUGCCGUGCUAGAUUUAGAAUUCCUGAAACAUAAAAACCUUCCUCCCAGAUGAAUCUAGUACUAGUGAAUUUAAUGAAAGAACAGGUCCUAAAGAAAGCAAAAGAGUCCUCACAUAAUGUGCGCAGCUUACACUUCCUGGCAAAAUUUGUUGAACUAUUCAAUACGUUUUACGUAUGUAUAUAGUGUAGUACGAUAAUAGAUGUAUAAAGUAAAUAUAAUAAUAAACACCUAAAUGGCGUGUUAUUUUCAAUAAAUAUGAAAUAUAAUUGAUGAUGAAUGUUAUUAAAUUCUCAUUUGGGAUUUUGGUAGAACUAACCGAAAAUAGCGGGUAUAUUUUCUGGGCUUUUGUGGGUCGCAGUACUGAAAGUGCAGGUGGAGUUUUCGUUCGCAGUUUUGGGUCUUUCAUCCGUAAUAGUACCAAGAACAGUACUGAAAGUGCACAUGUAGUUUUGGUUCGCAGUUUUGGGUCUUUCAUCCGGGAUCGUACCAAGACCAUUCACAGAAUUGUGCAAGAGGUAUAUAUAACUUGUUAAAUUAUGAAUUUAAUGUGUAAGAAAGGGACGUACACUAUAGUUUCGGGUACUUUUGUCAAUUCGCCCUUAAGAAUGGCAUAGAAACUUUCAUUGAAACUGCUAGUACCGCUCCCUGGCAUUUCACCGAAGAAUUCGCCGGUACCUGUCUUGCAGGGAAAUAUUCGUUUUCGCCGUUUCCUUCGCCUAUUCUUUGUGAAUUCGCCACUCCCAAUUCGAGCUGUCGAAGUUCGACUGAAAUUUCCUUCGCUUCGCCAGUGACAAUACUAGCCUAAGAGAAUCUGAGCUAAUGGAGGAGGAUUGCGAAGCGAAGGAGAAAAAGGCCAUAGAGAGUAAACACACUGAACUCAGAAUGUACUUUUGUUAUAGUUGGGUAAUAUCCACCUUAACAACCUUUAAAUAUAGUUUGUAACUUAAAAAUAUUUAUUUAUAUAUAAAUGUAAUGUGUUUAAGUUUAUUAUAACUGAAAACAAAAAUCGCCGCUAUGGCCGCUGUUCAUUUGAAAAUAAAAUUUUAAGUGAAUGGAGGAAAGUGUGUUUUAAAUAUUUCUUUUAUUUUGUUAAGUGUUUUUGAAUAUUUAUCGAACUUAUAAAUGCAAGUUAACUCCACCGAUAAGAUAUUGCAAUUUGAACUACUAAACAAAUGUGACCAAUAUGUCAUUGGCACAUCUACUAUUAAGAAUCCUGUUACACACUCGUUGUACACAUUAGAUUGUAAGAUGAUCUUUUCACUUACCACACGUGAUUUUAAGUGGACAUUCGUCACACACAUUAGAUUGUAAGAUGAACUUUUCAUUUACCACAUGUAGCGCGUCUAAAGUGGAACAUAUGUUUAAAAGAUGACUAUUAGAUUGUAAGAAUAUUUGUACUUAGUCUUAAGAACAGGAUUGUAUAAAAGUAAGUAAAAUACAGAUAAAACGGCAGUCGUUUCCAAGACUCGGACGUUUUUCGAUCGCUUGACUAAAUACUCGUUUUUUAUUUGUUAAAAACCUUUUACAUAAGGUCAAUAAAUUAAUUGGCGAUCCUGUCAGGAGAAAUAAAAAACUCCUAUGGACCAAAAUGUUUUAAACGGUUCGGUUUAAAAACAAACAAACGCAAACAAGUAUUGCGAAAUCGCAAGAAAAGUGAACAAAAAACAUACAAUCAAUCCAUUUUCGAAAAAAUAGCAAACGAAACGAAAUAUUUAAAUUUCCAACUAAAUUGUUAUUAAAAAAGUGAUACAUCACUCACAGUUUCUUGGAAUAUCGAACAAUCCAUUUACAAAAUCAAGUGGAUAAAUAAAUAAUUUAAUUUUAAUAAAAAGAACAACAACAACAACAACAACAUAUUUUUAAAGUGCGCAAGUUAUAAAGUCAACUCAUAGAAAUCAGUUGGCAAUUGAAGAAGCAGCUCCAACCGCCAAAGGCAGAGCAAUAACAACAACUUCAACGACAACAAGUUAGUAGUAAUUAUUAUAAAUAUUAAUUCCUCUUGUAUUAAUUUCGAAAAGCUCUUGUACUGUGAGUAUUGUAUUAAUAACAAGCAUGAAACUCACAAGUGACCGUACAUAAGACAAAGAAAACAAUAUUAAUUAUUAUAUUAUUUAUACAUUAAAUAUAUAAAAAAUACAACAAACAACUAGUAUUUAAGCUUUAUAAAAACAAAAACAUAAUGCAUGGCUCGACCAGCCGAAUAACAAAACAUUUUGAAACCGCGAUUCACCACCGCAAGGGGGACCCUCCGGUUUAUAAUAUAAACUCAAUUCUGCGAUUCUGAACUCUAGACCCUCCAGAAUAAAAAAGUAUCCUUUCCCAGAAAGGAUCAAAACAAUAAGUAU